rnacentral:rRNA from 1 species
UGGGGAAUAUUGCACAAUGGGCGCAAGCCUGAUGCAGCCAUGCCGCGUGUAUGAAGAAGGCCUUCGGGUUGUAAAGUACUUUCAGUCGGGAGGAAGGUGUCAAGGUUAAUAACCUUGGCAAUUGACGUUACCGACAGAAGAAGCACCGGCUAACUCCGUGCCAGCAGCCGCGGUAAUACGGAGGGUGCAAGCGUUAAUCGGAAUUACUGGGCGUAAAGCGCACGCAGGCGGUUGAUUGAGUCAGAUGUGAAAUCCCCGGGCUUAACCUGGGAACUGCAUCUGAUACUGGCAAGCUUGAGUCUCGUAGAGGGGGGUAGAAUUCCAGGUGUAGCGGUGAAAUGCGUAGAGAUCUGGAGGAAUACCGGUGGCGAAGGCGGCCCCCUGGACGAAGACUGACGCUCAGGUGCGAAAGCGUGGGGAGCAAACAGG